ACUUAAUUUAUUUGCCGGACCACUUAUUACCUUUUCUUAAUUAGAAACUUGGAGGAUCUAUCAUUUCCAUUUUCCCUCUAUAUAUACUUUCUCUUUCUCGUUCUCCAGUUGAUCUCUCAAUUUUCACGGGCCAUUUUCUUCCAAAAGCAUCUUCUAAAUUCACUUCAAUUUCCGCUUGAAUAUUCUUCAUCAAUUAUCAAAACGUUUAACGGUUUAACGAGAAGAUGAGGAGAUGUCUUCCACGUUCUGAUUUGUCUGAUGAGAAGGUCCUCAGCCUAAGGAAGGUAAUUAAUUAAGCGUUUUUUUUUUUUUGUAUUAUUUAACAAAUGCGAGGAAAAAGAAGUAGCAAUCUGUUUGUAUUUUACUAUUUUGAGAAUAUGGAUUAUAUGAUUAGUAGAACAUUGCGCAUGUUUAUACAGUUGAUAGGGUUAUUCAAAGGGGACACUCAGAGAUAAUAAGAAACACGAGGAAUUAUUUGUAUCAAUUAAGAAAUGUGAGGAAGAAGCAGCAGCAACGUGUUUGUGUUUUACUGUUUGAGGAAUGUGGACAUUUCACAUGUUUAUACAGUUGAUCGGUUAUUCAAAUGAAAUAAGAAGUGUGCGGAAGUAUUCUACAUUUCUAAAAACAAAACAAAAAAAAAAGAAAUGUGAUGAAGAAAAAGAAGGAAUCUGUUUCUGUUUUACUAUUUCGAGAACGGAGGAAGUAUUUUACCUUUCUCAAAAAAACUGAGAAAGAAAUGAAAGCAGCGUGUUUUUGUUUUACUAUUUCAAGAAUGUGGACUAUAUGAUUAGUAGAACAUUUCACAUGUUUAUACAGUUGAUAGAGUUAUUCAAAGGGCAUACUCAGAGGUAAUAAGAAACGUCAGGAAGUGUUUGUAUCAAUUAAGAAAUGCGAGGAAGAAGAAGCAAUGUAUUUGUUUUUUACUAUUUCGAGAAUGUGGACUAUAUGAGCAGUAGAACAUUUUCUAUGUUUAUACAGUUGAUAUAUUAUUCAAAGGUAAUAUGAAAUGCAAGGAAGAAAAAGAAGCACUGUGUUUGUGUUUUACUAUUUCAAGAAUGUGGACUAAAGGAUAAGUUAACAAUUCCCAUGUUUAUACAGUUGAGAGGUUAUUCAAAGGUAAUAAGAAAUGUGAGGAAGAAAAAUAAGCAUUGUGUUUGUGUUUUACAAUUUAAAGAAUGGGGACUAUAGGAUUUAAGAAAUUUGAGGGGGAAAAAAAGAAGCAAUGUGUUUGUGUUUUACUAUUUCGAGAAUGGGCACUAUAGGAUUAGUAGAACAUUUCCUAUGUUUAGACAGUUGAUAGGUUAUUCAAAGGUAACAAGAAAUUUGAGAAAAAAAGUAGCAGUGUGUUUGUGUUUUACUAUUUCGGGAAUGUGGCAUACAGGAUUAGCAGAACAUUUCUCAUGUCUAUACUGUUGAUGGGUUAUUCAAAGGUAAUAAGAAAUGCGAGGGAAAAAAAGAAGCAAUGUGUUUUACUCUUUCAAGAAUUGGGACUAUAGGAUUAGUAGAAAAUUUCCCAUGUUUAUACGGUUGAUAUGUUAUUCAAAGGGGAUACUAAAAGGUAAUAAGAAACACGAGGAAGUAUUUUACCUUUCUCAAAAGAAAAAAGAAGAAAUGUGAGGAAGAAAAAGAAGCAAUUUAUUUGUGUUUUACUAUUUCAAGAAUGGUGUAUAUAGGAUUAGUGGAACAUUUCCCAUGUUUAUACAGUUGAUACUUGAUAGGUUAUUCAAAGGGAAAAAUACUCAUUCAUGCUACAUUGGCACUCGUGAAUGCCUAGUCAGGCAGAAAUAACUGAAGGAUGAGAAAUAAAACAACUGAUAAUUUUGACUCCUUUUGUUUACUAAAUGUUGUGUCUGGAGUCUGAACUAUGCUAAACUAGGCAUUGAUAUGUUAAUUUAUUAAAAUAUAAGUUUGCGGUAUAGGAUCCAUGUUAUGGAAAGUUGACUGAUAAUGUAAGUAUGUUCACAUUUUAGAUUCGCUUGUUGUCCAAUGAAAUGUUGGGAAGUGAAUAAUUGUCUUGAAUAACUUAUUCUUUAGUUUAAUAGUUUGCAAUCACAAGAGAUUUGCUUACUUAACCUUUUGGAAUAUUAGUACAAUGGUUGUGCAGAGCCACUUUGGUAUGUUUUGAUGAGCUUUAAUAAUGUGGUGCAUCUCUGCGUCAUUGGAUAUCUAAAGGAUGGUGGACAAAAGUCAUAUGUAACAUUUGGACGACUGUGUUAUCGAUGAUGUUGUUGGAGAUAUGGUAAUGAGAAAGGUUGUGUAGUGCAGCUUCACCACAGGGCUUACGCCAUGCAUCUUCAUUUCAAGUUGCUACAAUUUUCAAAUUAAACUAAAUCUUAGAUGAUUGUACAUUGGCUUAUCCAAUAUGUACGUCUAUGUUCUUUACAGCUGGAUUUAGAGGUUUUGAUCUGAUGGUUUCUCCAUGUUGACUUGCUAGCAGCAGUAGAAACAUGACAUGAUGGGGAAAAUCUGCAAUCGGAGGUCCCCAGACUGUAAGGUUUACUUGGAAGACAGAGAACUUCUCUAGGUUAAAUUUGAAAAAGCUCUACUCUGAUCCUUUUCCCUUUGUACUUUCUCUUUCUCAUUCUCCAGUUGAUCCCUCAAUUUUCAUCCAAAAAUAUCUUCUAAAUUCACUUUAAUUUCCACUCGAAUAUUCUUCAUAGAUUAUCAAAAUGUUUAACGAUGUAAGUGAACUUCUCUUCUUCUUCGAUAAGUAUGCUGGGUUAGUGCUGUUGAUGGUUCUAAUUCUAAGUAAGCAUGAGUGUGAAGUUUGUUUAUCUAGAAUAUCAGUGUCAUCUUUGUAAUUUUUAAUGCCUUGUAUAUCAUUCUCUGUUUAAUGUAUUGGUUUUAUCCGCCGCACCCCCCACCCCCAAAUAAAUAGAUAAAUAGAGAGCUAGCAUAAUAUGACUAAAUGAAAUGGUUUCAUUUCUCUGGAUAUUUGAUCUCUGUACCUUGUACUCCAGGUCUGUUGCGCAUUCACUUCACUCAUACAUAUCUCUUACACACUAGAUUAAUAAGGACAAUGUUUUUGAUAUUAUUACGUUAUGCUGUUUUUUUUUCCAAGUAUUUUGAGGUAAAAUUCAUCCUCCAUGUGCUUUUGCCCCUAAAAUAUUACAUGGUGACAAUUAAGAAUGUAAAAAAGGUCUUCUUUGCAUACAAUCCACUAUUGCCUUAACUGACAAGAUGUGCUUAUUUGUGAUCUGAGGUUUGUUUUGACUGGAUGUUAUGAUGGUUUUGGAUGAUAACCUACUGAUUGUUUAUUCUUAUGCUAAUUGCAUUUUUUGGUUUAGAACUCGCCUUUUCUUUUAAGGUUAUUGUGUCAACCUAACUUUUGAUAGUGCUAAUCAGAAUAUAGAAGGCUGCUGGAUCUUGUACGCAUCUACUAGAGGGCCAUACUGAUGCAAUUACUUCUGUUUAUGUUGUCAAACCAAGAGGUAUCAGUGAGAUAUAGUUUCCCAGUUGCUCGUUUCUAGCAUUAUGCUUUAUCGUCUGCUGCCAUUAUCAUUUGUCAGUGACACCAUGUUUUGAGAUACGUUCAUGAGCUUUGAGAUACAUUCUUGCUUCAUACAACCUACUUUUUCUAAUAGAUUGUUGCUUCUUAGCCUUUCAUUAUGAGUAGUCACUGGUUUAUUGAUAAGAAAUGUUUUUGUUCAGUAAAUAUUUGCUGCAGAAGUUCAUUAAGAUUGCAUCUUUCCAGUCUAUAAGUUAUCAUGUUCACUUCUUAAUCAAUACAUCAAAAGUUCUAUUAAUGAGAAAAGCUAAGUAGCAAGUUUGUGUUUGAACUCUUAGACAUCACAGUCCGUGUACAAGCACGAAAGGUAUUUCCUUCUAUGUUGAACUAUUAGUGCAAACAAAGGACUGAAUGAUUAACUCAUGAGUUUCUAUGCGGAAUUAUUCUGCUGGGAAUCCUUCUCAGAUGUACUUGAAGAACUUAGCAUAAGAAGUGAUUGUUGAUGAUAUUUACUUCAUAUUUGGUAAGUAUUAAUCUACAGAUCCGUUGCAAAAUCAAAUCUCCUGACUUCUUUUCUUAGACUUCCUUGUAGUUUUCAAUACCUCACAUGCUUCAAUGCGUUUCUGAUUUUUCUUCUCAUCUAUUAUGUUCUUUAGGAUCUUUAUUUGAAAGCAUUGAUGGAGCUAAAUCCAGUUUUGCAGUUAAAUUAAUGCAGGUUUGCAUAUCUGACAGGAGCAGACCUAGAAAAAAGCAAAAGGAGGAGAAAAGGGUAUGUGGUUCCUUCAGAUAGCAAAUACACCGCAAGUAAAAGAAAAGAUCAUUUUUGAUCUAUUUGUAAGAUGUAUUUAGGUUGAUUUGUUUUGUUUUGAACACUCUUUAGACGUGUGUGAAAAAUCAUUACCAAUUGAUUGAAGUGAGAAGCAAAAAUAUUCUGAGAAGGAUGUUCCUCAGAUUCUUUACAUUUUUUUUCCAGUUCGAGGUUGCUUUUUGAUAGAUCAUGUACUGUGUACUUACCUCGUAAGUUUCUUAUACAGUAGAAAUUGUAUUCGUUUA